UGGGGAAUAUUGGACAAUGGGCGCAAGCCUGAUCCAGCCAUGCCGCGUGUGUGAAGAAGGCCUUAUGGUUGUAAAGCACUUUAAGCGAGGAGGAGGCUACUUUAGUUAAUACCUAGAGAUAGUGGACGUUACUCGCAGAAUAAGCACCGGCUAACUCUGUGCCAGCAGCCGCGGUAAUACAGAGGGUGCAAGCGUUAAUCGGAUUUACUGGGCGUAAAGCGCGCGUAGGCGGCUAAUUAAGUCAAAUGUGAAAUCCCCGAGCUUAACUUGGGAAUUGCAUUCGAUACUGGUUAGCUAGAGUGUGGGAGAGGAUGGUAGAAUUCCAGGUGUAGCGGUGAAAUGCGUAGAGAUCUGGAGGAAUACCGAUGGCGAAGGCAGCCAUCUGGCCUAACACUGACGCUGAGGUGCGAAAGCAUGGGGAGCAAACAGG
rnacentral:rRNA from 3 species